GUUUUAUAGAUUUUUUAGGUCUAUGUUACAAUAUUAAUACUGAAUUCUUUUGGUAAAUAAUAAUAGGAUACCAAGCCUAAGCUUGAUCAUGGCUCGAUUAGCAUCUUAAACACCUAUCCAUAUGAUGUUUAAGCAUCUCUCAAGCGCCAUGCGAUAAUACAGUUCACAGUAAAUAGAUAAUAGUGGGCGGGUAAAGCACCAAGAUUAUUCAAUUAUUUAAUGAUCCUUCCGCAGGUUCACCUACGGAAA
rnacentral:misc_RNA from 1 species